rnacentral:rRNA from 1 species
AACUGUGUGCGGUGGGUCACUCGGCUCGUGCGUCGAUGAAGAGUGCAGCCAACUGUGUGAAUUGGUGCGAAUCGCAGACUGCUUUGAGCAUCGACAUCUUGAACGCAUAUUGCGGCCAUAGGCUUGCCUGUGGCCGCGUCUGUUUGAGCGUCG